rnacentral:rRNA from 1 species
GACGAACGCUGGCGGCGUGCUUAACACAUGCAAGUCGAACGGAAAGGCCUGCUUUCCCUUGUGGAUUGCGGGUACUCGAGUGGCGGACGGGUGAGUAACACGUGAGUGAUCUGCCCCCAACUUGGGUAUAAGCCUGGGAAACUGGGUCUAAUUCCCGAUAGGACUGCAGGGUGGUGCCUGUGGUGGAAAACGAUUUUCUAGUGGUUGGGGAUGAGCUCGCGGCCUAUCAGCUUGUUGGUGGGGUAAUGGCCUACCAAGGCGGCGACGGGUAGCCGGCCUGAGAGGGUGGACGGCCACAUUGGGACUGAGAUACGGCCCAGACUCCUACGGGAGGCAGCAGUGGGGAAUAUUGCACAAUGGGCGGAAGCCUGAUGCAGCGACGCCGCGUGGGGGAUGACGGCCUUCGGGUUGUAAACUCCUUUCGACCGCGAGGAAGCCACCUGGUUGGAAGGGUGGUGACGGUAGUGGUAGAAGAAGCACCGGCUAACUACGUG